AGAGUUUGAUCCUGGCUCAGGACGAACGCUGGCGGCGUGCCUAAUACAUGCAAGUGGGACGCAAGAGAACACACUGUGCUUGCACACCGUGUUUUCUUGAGUCGCGAACGGGUGAGUAACGCGUAGGUAACCUGCCUAUUAGCGGGGGAUAACUAUUGGAAACGAUAGCUAAUACCGCAUAAUAUUAAUUAUUGCAUGAUAAUUGAUUGAAAGAUGCAAGCGCAUCACUAGUAGAUGGACCUGCGUUGUAUUAGCUAGUUGGUAAGGUAAGAGCUUACCAAGGCGACGAUACAUAGCCGACCUGAGAGGGUGAUCGGCCACACUGGGACUGAGACACGGCCCAGACUCCUACGGGAGGCAGCAGUAGGGAAUCUUCGGCAAUGGACGAAAGUCUGACCGAGCAACGCCGCGUGAGUGAAGAAGGUUUUCGGAUCGUAAAGCUCUGUUGUAAGUCAAGAACGUGUGUGAGAGUGGAAAGUUCACACAGUGACGGUAGCUUACCAGAAAGGGACGGCUAACUACGUGCCAGCAGCCGCGGUAAUACGUAGGUCCCGAGCGUUGUCCGGAUUUAUUGGGCGUAAAGGGAGCGCAGGCGGUCAGGAAAGUCUGGAGUAAAAGGCUAUGGCUCAACCAUAGUGUGCUCUGGAAACUGUCUGACUUGAGUGCAGAAGGGGAGAGUGGAAUUCCAUGUGUAGCGGUGAAAUGCGUAGAUAUAUGGAGGAACACCAGUGGCGAAAGCGGCUCUCUGGUCUGUCACUGACGCUGAGGCUCGAAAGCGUGGGUAGCGAACAGGAUUAGAUACCCUGGUAGUCCACGCCGUAACGAUGAGUGCUAGGUGUUAGGCCCUUUCCGGGGCUUAGUGCCGGAGCUAACGCAUAGCACUCCGCCUGGGAGUACGACCGCAGGUUGAAACUCAAAGGAUUGACGGGGCCGCACAGCGUGAGCAUGUGUUUAUCGAGCACGCGAGACUACAGUCUGACAUCCGAUGCUAUCUAGAGAAGAGUACUCGUACAUCGGAGACAGGUGGUGCAUGUGUCGUCAAGCCUCGUGUCGUGGGAGAUGUGUGGGUUAAGUUCGAC
rnacentral:rRNA from 1 species